rnacentral:rRNA from 1 species
GACGAACGCUGGCGGCGUGCUUAACACAUGCAAGUCGAACGGAAAGGCCCUGCUUUGGUGGGGUGCUCGAGUGGCGAACGGGUGAGUAACACGUGAGUAACCUGCCCUUGACUUUGGGAUAACUUCAGGAAACUGGGGCUAAUACCGGAUAGGAGCUCCUGCUGCAUGGUGGGGGUUGGAAAGUUUCGGCGGUUGGGGAUGGACUCGCGGCUUAUCAGCUUGUUGGUGGGGUAGUGGCUUACCAAGGCUUUGACGGGUAGCCGGCCUGAGAGGGUGACCGGACACAUUGGGACUGAGAUGCGGCACAGACUCCUACGGGAGGCAGCAGUGGGGAAUAUUGCACAGUGGGCGGAAGCCUGAUGCAGCAACGCCGCGUGCGGGAUGACGGCCUUCGGGUUGUAAACCGCUUUCGCCUGUGACGAAGCGUGAGUGACGGUAAUGGGUAAAGAAGCACCGGCUAACUACGUG